rnacentral:lncRNA from 1 species
GCAUAUAUUGAGCAGUGCAAGAGAUCAGAUUAAUGUAUGAUCAUUAUGCAAGGCCACGAAUGAACGUAGGCUGACAUAUCUCACAAUACAAAAAGAGCAAAUGAAACGCACAGAAUUUAUCGUGUCAUCGCUGAGCUUAAUACUUUAGUUUAGGUGAAUCGCCUAUCUACAUGUGAGCCUCUGUCAGAAUCCAUAGCGCACCAUUUUGAAUUACUUCGUCCAUUGGCCAAUUGAAACAUGGAAACAGGUAAGGUUCGUUAGCAUCAAUUGUGGUUUGGACUUAACUUUAGCCCAUGUUUGGAUAGGUGGGAAGGGGAGAAGAAAGGAAAGGAAAAUGACGCAAAGGGGGAUUUUUUUUUU